rnacentral:lncRNA from 1 species
CUUUUAUAUAAGAAAAUAAAUAUUUCUUUGUAGUAGAAAUGUCUUUGUAUCUAUUAUAUUGGCUCUGACAUUCUCGUCGUAUUUGGCAGUAAAUCAAACUAAAUAUUUCGUGAUAUUUCGGGUUACUUACAAACAAAGAAUCGUUAAAAACUACUACAUGUGGUUAAUUUGAAGACGGAAAGGGUUCCAAAAGUUUUCUGUUCCUAAUAUAUGCAUCGGUUUUCCUAGAAUAAACUUAUCAAUGACUCAACGACACAUGAUCUGCCUUAUUAUCAAAAUAUAAAAAUUACAGAUAUAUAUUCCCAAUGAUCAUAUCUUGUUAAGGAGUGGAGUACAAAGAGAGAUAAUUGAUUAAAUAUAUCGGUAUUAAUAAGUCUUUCAAUCGGUUUAGUACACAUUUUUUUAUUAUCGUCAUUAAACAAUUACUAUUGUAAAUAAGUUAAAAAAUUUAUCUCGAAAUUGCUGAUACAGUAAUCAAAAUGUAUCACCGAAAUGCGAUACAUGAAAAUCACGGAAAUGAACGAACAAGUUUACUAUUUUUAAAAAGUGACUACAUACGAAACAGUUGGCAAAAUUAUCAGAAAACAAUUCUAAGAACUCAAGAGGAGCCAAUGACUCAUACAGUGAUGAUAAUUCUUCAUACAUAUUCUGAAAGGAUCCAAGAAAUUUUCAUUAAAAUAUUACGAUUUCUUAAUAAAUUUUAGGAAAAUUUGGCUGAAAAGUUCGGGAAAAAUUCUUUUUCCGAAAAUUUCUGAGUUAUUUUAUGUAAAUUUACAGCAUUAAUAAAAUAU